CCCUUAGAUGUUCUGGGCCGCACGCGCGCUACACUGAUGCAUCCAACGAGUCUAAAACCUGCUCUGAUAGGGGUGGGUAAUCUUUUGAAUGUGCAUCGUGAUUGGGAUAGAUGAUUGCAAUUUUUCAUCUCCAACGAGGAAUGCCUAGUAAACGCAAGUCAUCAGCUUGCAUUGAUUACGUCCCUGCCCUUUGUACACACCGCCCGUCGCUCCUACCGAUUGAAUGAUCCGAUGAAUAUCAUGGAUUGAGGAUUAUAGCAGGUUCGCCUGUCUUGAUCUUCGAGAAGUGAAGUAAAUCUUAUCAUUUAGAGGAAGGAGAAGUCGUAACA
rnacentral:rRNA from 1 species